UUAUAAAAUAGACUAUCCUUUUUUGUAUUAUUACAAUUUGCCGGAUAUUUAAUAAAAAUAUAUUUAAAUCCAACUUUAAAAAGGUUACGCACCCCUGCUAUUCCGAAUGACCUUGACUGUGGUUUGUUUACAUUUGGUAUCGCUUCUCCUUGGACGUGCUUUAGAUGUCGCUACGAAGCACAGACGUCACAAAAAAUGUAAACAAAUUUGACAGUUGCGAUAACGCCCUAUAGUACUUGCUCACAAGUUGGCGCUUUUUUUUGCGAACCCGAACCCAUAUUUUAGUGAUAAAAGUGCUAGAAAUAUUUUAAAUACUGAUACACGGAGAAAAAAGAAUUUAUGAUAAAACAUGCCGCGAAACUAUAUAAGAAAAUCUAAUAGAUGCAGAUAUGAUAAUGAUAAAUUAAAUGAGGCUGUCAAUGCAGUAAAAAAUGGAACAAUAUCUGCAUACGCUGCAUCAAAACUUUAUAAUAUACCAAGAACAACAAUUGUUAACCGUGUAAAUGAUCGCAAAGGUUUAAAGUCCAAAACUUUAGGCAGGUGUACUGCAUUGCCGACGGAUGUGGAAGAAACGCUUGCGAAAAAUCUCCACGUAAUGGAAAGAUCAGGGUUUGGGUUAACGCGCAAGGAAGUGAUUGAAUUGGUUACCCAAUACGUGGUUGAGAAUAAAAUUAAAACUCCGUUUAAAGAUGGGAUACCUGGAGAGGACUGGUUUCUUGGUUUUAAGAAAAGACACGGACUUUCCAUUAAAAAACCCCAAGCCGAUGAACAUGCGCGUAAAACUUCCUUGGUCAUGAUUCAUACAGUUACUUUGAUUAAUAAUUAGAGAAAACUAUUGAUGGACUUAUUAGAAGAUGAUGUUAUUUAGUUGAAAAAAUAAUGGAUAAGUACAAAGAAAAUAAAGUGGGUUGUAUUUGAACUCAUUAUACUCAUAGGUGUUUCUCCAGAUGGGGACUACAUAGAGGAAAAUUCAGACAUUUGUGCUCUAUUCUGCUUGCACACAAGGAUUUUGCUAUUAAAAAAUGGAAAUAUAAUAGAAGUAGAAAACAAUAUCUGAUUGACAAAUACAUUUGUACAUGUAGGUACAUGUACAGAUUUUUGGUGUAAUGCUAUUUUUCUUUUUUUAUAACUAUAUUAGGAGCCUGGGUCAUUAAAUGUAUAUGUAGCAAAUAAUGGUGGAAAAUAAACAAUUAUUUUAUAAAACAACA